UACAGAGGGGGCAAGCGUUGUUCGGAAUUACUGGGCGUAAAGGGCGCGUAGGCGGCCUGCUAAGUCGAACGUGAAAUCCCUGGGCUCAACCCUGGAAUUGCCUUCGAUACUGGAGAUCUUGAGACCGGAAGAGGUAAGUGGAACUGCGAGUGUAGAGGUGAAAUUCGUAGAUAUUCGCAAGAACACCAGUGGCGAAGGCGGCUUACUGGUCCGGUUCUGACGCUGAGGCGCGAAAGCGUGGGGAGCAAACAGG
rnacentral:rRNA from 1 species